GAUGAACGCUGGCGGCGUGCCUAGUACAUGCAAGUCGAGCGAAUGGAUUAAGAGCUUGCUCUUAUGAAGUUAGCGGCGGACGGGUGAGUAACACGUGGGUAACCUGCCCAUAAGACUGGGAUAACUCCGGGAAACCGGGGCUAAUACCGGAUAACAUUUUGAACCGCAUGGUUCGAAAUUGAAAGGCGGCUUCGGCUGUCACUUAUGGAUGGACCCGGGUCGCAUUAGCUAGUUGGUGAGGUAACGGCUCACCAAGGCAACGAUGCGUAGCCGACCUGAGAGGGUGAUCGGCCACACUGGGACUGAGACACGGCCCAGACUCCUACGGGAGGCAGCAGUAGGGAAUCUUCCGCAAUGGACGAAGGUCUGACGGAGCAACGCCGCGUGAGUGAUGAAGGCUUUCGGGUCGUAAAACUCUGUUGUUAGGGAAGAACAAGUGCUAGUUGAAUAAGCUGACACCUUGACGGUACCUAACCAGAAAGCCACGGCUAACUACGUGCCAGCAGCCGCAGUAA
rnacentral:rRNA from 1 species